rnacentral:lncRNA from 1 species
UUUAGUGUGGUUGAAACAGAGAAAAGGAGAGGGAAAGGACUGGGCUAAUUAUUUUCCUAUUCUCAUUCAGCCUGAAUAAAUUUGGAUGACUAAUGUCUAAAUCCCACCACCAUUGCAACAUGAGCUGGAAAUAUGCUAUUCUGAUCUAAAAAUGGAGACUCAGUCUUAAAACUUGUUACAGGUACUUUCAUCUUUAAAAUAGGACUGCAAGCAAUGGUUUGAACCCCAUUCUGACUCUAGAUCUAGGCUGUCCUCUGAUCGGUAUCACAUGCUGGGCUCCGAAGUCCUUCUGCCAACCAUCCUGGAUCUCAGUGAUUGACAGACCACGCCCAAUUGCCCACUUGCUUUGUUGUGCCCUAAUCUCCUGCUUCAUGGAGAAGAGAAUAACUAUAAGUAUUAUUAUUAGUUUUG